AAUAGAUACCCAGGUAGUCCCAGCUGUAAACGAUGCAGACUCGGUGAUGAAUUGGCUUAUUGCUAAUUCAGUGCCGCAGGGAAGCCGUUAAGUUUGCCGCCUGGGGAGUACGGUCGCAAGACUGAAACUUAAAGGAAUUGGCGGGGGGAGCACCACAAGGGGUGAAGCCUGCGGUUCAAUUGGAGUCAACGCCGGAAAUCUUACCGGGGGCGACAGCAGAGUGAAGGUCAAGCUGAAGACUUUACCAGACAAGCUGAGAGGAGGUGCAUGGCCGUCGCCAGCUCGUGCCGUGAGGUGUCCUGUUAAGUCAGGUAACGAGCGAGAUCCCUGCCUCUAGUUGCUACCAUUAUUCUCAGGAGUAGUGGAGCUAAUUAGAGGGACCGCCGUCGCUGAGACGGAGGAAGGUGGGGGCUACGGCAGGUCAGUAUGCCCCGAAACCCUCGGGCCACACGCGGGCUGCAAUGGUAAGGACAAUGAGUUUCGAUUCCGAAAGGAGGAGGCAAUCUCUAAACCUUACCACAGUUAUGAUUGAGGG
rnacentral:rRNA from 1 species